GACGGAGGAGGCUAACGUUGUCCGGAAUUAUUGGGCGUAAAGAGCACGUAGGCGGUUCUAUAAGUCGUGUGUGAAAACUUUGGGCUUAACUCAAAGAUUGCAUUCGAUACUGUGGAGCUUGAGUACAGUAGAGGAAAGUGGAAUUCCUGGUGUAGCGGUGAAAUGCGCAGAUAUCAGGAAGAACACCAGUGGCGAAGGCGGCUUUCUGGACUGUUACUGACGCUGAGGUGCGAAAGCUAGGGGAGCGAAC
rnacentral:rRNA from 1 species